GUUGAACGCUGGCGGCAUGCCUUACACAUGCAAGUCGAACGGCAGCACGGGUGCAAAGGGUAACCAAUGCGCCUGGUGGCGAGUGGCGAACGGGUGAGUAAAAAUAUCGGAACGUACCCAGUAGAGGGGAAUAACUCGCUGAAAGGUGAGCUAAUACCGCAUACGCCCUGAGGGGGAAAGUGGGGGAUCGCAAGACCUCACGUUAUUGGAGCGGCCGAUAGCUGAUUAGCUAGUUGGAGGGGUAAAGGCCCACCAAGGCGACGAUCAGUAGCUGGUCUGAGAGGACGGCCAGCCACACUGGAACUGAGAGACGGACCAGACUCCUACGGAGGCAGCAGUGGGGAAUUUUGGACAAUGGGGGCGAACCCUGAUCCAGCAAUG
rnacentral:rRNA from 1 species